ACAUGCCUACAGCAUAGUGUUAAUGCACUGGAUCUCGUUAGAACUCUGUAGUUAAGUGCGCUCAGGCUAGAGAAGUAUUGGGAUGGGUGACCUACCAAGAAGUCCUGAUGUUUUACAUGCC
rnacentral:rRNA from 1 species